rnacentral:tRNA from 1 species
UGGGAUGUAGCUCAGUGGCAAAGCGCUUGCCUAGCAAGUGCAACGGUCCUGGGUUCAAUCCCCAGUACCAA